AUUGAACGCUGGCGGCAUGCUUUACACAUGCAAGUCGAACGGCAGCACGGGUGCUUGCACCUGGUGGCGAGUGGCGGACGGGUGAGUAAUGCAUCGGAACGUGUCCUGAAGUGGGGGAUAACGCAUCGAAAGAUGUGCUAAUACCGCAUAUUCUCUGAGGAGGAAAGUAGGGGAUCGAAAGACCUUAUGCUUUUGGAGCGGCCGAUGUCUGAUUAGCUAGUUGGUAGGGUAAUGGCUUACCAAGGCGACGAUCAGUAGUUGGUCUGAGAGGACGACCAGCCACACUGGGACUGAGACACGGCCCAGACUCCUACGGGAGGCAGCAGUGGGGAAUUUUGGACAAUGGGCGCAAGCCUGAUCCGGCAAAUGCCGCGUGAGUGAAGAAGGCCUCGGUGUAAGCUCUUCAGUUGAGAAGAAAAAGUACGUAGACUAAUAAUACAUGAUUCAUGACGGUAUCAACAGAAGAAG
rnacentral:rRNA from 1 species